rnacentral:rRNA from 1 species
AGGGGAAUAUUGGACAAUGGGCGCAAGCCUGAUCCAGCAAUGCCGCGUGUGUGAAGAAGGCCUGCGGGUUGUAAAGCACUUUCAGUGGGGAGGAAGGCCUCGGCGUUAAUAUCGUCGAGGAUUGACGUUACCUACAGAAGAAGCACCGGCUAACUCUGUGCCAGCAGCCGCGGUAAUACGGAGGGUGCAAGCGUUAAUCGGAAUUACUGGGCGUAAAGGGCGCGUAGGCGGCUGGGUAAGCGUGUGGUGAAAGCCCGGGGCUCAACCCCGGGUCGGCCAUGCGAACUGUCCAGCUGGAGCACGGUAGAGGCACAUGGAAUUCCGGGUGUAGCGGUGGAAUGCGUAGAGAUCCGGAAGAACACCGGUGGCGAAGGCGGCGUGCUGGGCCGUGGCUGACGCUGAGGCGCGACAGCGUGGGGAGCAAACA